AAACUUUCAGCGACGGAUGUCUUGGCUCCC
rnacentral:rRNA from 1 species